rnacentral:rRNA from 1 species
AGCGAACGCUGGCGGCAGGCUUAACACAUGCAAGUCGAGCGGGCAUCCUUGUGGUGUCAGCGGCAGACGGGUGAGUAACGCGUGGGAACGUGCCCUUCGGUUCGGAAUAACUCAGGGAAACUUGAGCUAAUACCGGAUACGUGCGAGAGCAGAAAGGUUUAUCUGCCGAAGGAUCGGCCCUCGUCUGAUUAGCUAGUUGGUGAGGUUACGGCUCACCAAGGCGACGAUCAGUAGCUGGUCUGAGAGGAUGAUCAGCCACACUGGGACUGAGACACGGCCCAGACUCCUACGGGAGGCAGCAGUGGGGAAUAUUGGAAAAUGGGGGCAACCCUGAUCCAGCCAUGCCGCGUGAGUGAUGACGGCCUUAGGGUUGUAAAGCUCUUUUCUCCGGGACGAUAAUGACGGUACCGGAGGAAUAAGCCCCGGCUAACUUCGUG